rnacentral:rRNA from 1 species
CGACCGGCGCACGGGUGCGUAACGCGUAUGCAACCUACCUUUUACUGGGGGAUAGCCCGGAGAAAUUCGGAUUAACACCGCAUAAUAAGUUGAAGUGGCAUCACUUUAAUUUUAAAUAUUUAUAGGUAAGAGAUGGGCAUGCGUCCAAUUAGCUAGUUGGUGAGGUAAUGGCUCACCAAGGCGAUGAUUGGUAGGGGUUCUGAGAGGAAGGUCCCCCACACUGGUACUGAGAUACGGACCAG